rnacentral:lncRNA from 1 species
CUCAUUAAGGACAAGAAGCUAUGAAUUCUCUGGACUUCAGUUAUCUCACAGAAAAGAGCUUGAUUGAAUAAUGUCUAAGGCUCUUCCUGACAUAGUCUAAAUAACAGAAGGUGUCUCACAAGAAAUGGAAGCAGUGAGAGAAAAAUGCAAUUAAAUCCUAGACUAGAAAGAAUCACAAUUUUCCCACUCACAGGUUGGAAAUGCCUCUCUAUUCUAUCACAAUUUUGAAAACCUCCAUAGUUUUACUAGCUUUGCCUUUCUCCCUUGCUAUCAUCUUCUGAGGUACAGACAGUCCUUUCCAUUUUUAUUCCUCUCCCACUCUGAUAAUUUUUUUCUUUGACAGAAGUCCCACUUUAUCAUUAAUGAUGACAAUAACUAAAGCUGCCAGGAACAGCACAUCUGCUGAGCUUUAUCAACACCAGAUUCUCUCAUUUUGCCUUCUGGAUCUCCAUGCUUUUUUAUACCAACAAACAAGAGGAAGAAUAUUCUCUACCCACUUCCUUGACUGAAGCCUGCUCUUUUAUGAAGACAUGGCAUCUCUUCCAACAGUGUCAAACAGAUGCAAUUUAUGUGUCUGCUGCUUCCAUACCCUGAUUAAAUGGGUCAGUGGCAGAAUCAAGCAUUUGUUUGCCAGUAAGCCAGGUGCCAUGUUGUCAUACAGCCCUAAAUAGAGAAGUCCAUGUGAGUUUGGCCUUCUGAGGCCUGUCAAAAGACACAUGAGUGAGCUCAGAAGUGGAAGCUUCCUCAUUCAAGUCUUGAGAGGACUGCAGCCCAGCCAACAUCUUGGUUGCCACUUCAUGACAGGCUUGAGCCAGAAUCAAGCAGCUAAGCUGCUUCUGGAUUCCUGACCUACAGACACUAUAGAUCAGGAAUGUUUGUGGCUUCCAACUGCUAAAUUUGGGGAUAAUUUGUUAUGCAAAUAUAGGUAACUAAUGUAUAUCCCAUGGAUUCCACGCCCAUUGUUAUAAAAAUUUACUUACAACAAUCUUCAGCUAUUUAACAUUUUUCUGGUAGAUCACCACGUUUACUGUGAUGAACAACUGCCCUUCCUGAUCCAGGACCCAUGCAGCAGAGCAUUACUGAAGAAAUUCACACCCUCAGGCAGUUAGCUGUCCCUGUAAAGUUAUAGUCACCAGGUUCUCAUGAUCUCACCACACAGACUGUUAC